UACGAAGGGGGCUAGCGUUGUUCGGAGUUACUGGGCGUAAAGCGCGUGUAGGCGGGUCUUUAAGUCAGGGGUGAAGUGCCAAGGCUCAACCUUGGAACUGCCUUUGAUACUGGAGACCUUGAGUCCGGGAGAGGUGAGUGGAAUUGCGAGUGUAGAGGUGAAAUUCGUAGAUAUUCGCAAGAACACCAGUGGCGAAGGCGGCUCACUGGCCCGGAACUGACGCUGAGACGCGAAAGCGUGGGGAGCAAACAGG
rnacentral:rRNA from 1 species